AGCCCCUGGCAGUGGGUAAAGAGACCCUGUUGUGGUUGGUGUUCUUCUAUCAGUCAGGGGCAGAGCAGAUGGCGGUCCUUUGUUCCUUUUAGCUCCUUGCUUGGCUUGGUGGCCAAAGCUGUUUUAUACCUAGAACAUAUAA